AUACUUUGUAUACGUGGUAGGGGAGCGUUCUGUAAGCCGAUGAAGGUGUGUUGAGAAGCAUGCUGGAGGUAUCAGAAGUGCGAAUGCUGACGUGAGUAACGACAAAACGGGUGAAAAACCCGUUCGCCGAAAGACCAAGGGUUCCAGUCCAACGUUAAUCGGGGCUGGGUGAGUCGACCCCUAAGGCGAGGCCGAAAGGCGUAGUCGAUGGGAAAAUGGUUAAUAUUCCAUUACUUCUGUGUAAUGCGAUGAGAGGACGGAGAAGGCUAAAUCAGCCUGGCGUUGGUUGUCCAGGUGAAAGGAUGUAGGCAUGUAUCUUAGGCAAAUCCGGGGUACUCUAUGCUGAGAUCUGAUAGCAAGCUGUACUUGUACAGCGAAGUGGUUGAUGCCAUGCUUCCAGGAAAAGUCUCUAAGCUUCAGUUACACAGGAAUCGUACCCGAAACCGACACAGGUGGUCAGGUCGAGUAGACCAAGGCGCUUGAGAGAACUCUGCUGAAGGAACUAGGCAAAAUGGUACCGUAACUUCGGGAGAAGGUACGCUGUUGUUGGUGAUGGAACUCGCUUCCUGAGCUGACGACAGCCGCAGAAACCAGGCCGCUGCAACUGUUUAUUAAAAACAUAGCACUCUGCAAACACGAAAGUGGACGUAUAGGGUGUGAUGCCUGCCCGGUGCUGGAAGGUUAAUUGAUGGGGUUAGCGUAAGCGAAGCUCUUGAUCGAAGCCCCAGUAAACGGCGGCCGUAACUAUAACGGUCCUAAGGUAGCGAAAUUCCUUGUCGGGUAAGUUCCGACCUGCACGAAUGGCAUAAUGAUGGCGGCGCUGUCUCCAGCAGAGGCUCAGUGAAAUCGAAAUCGCUGUGAAGAUGCAGUGUACCCGCGGCUAGACGGAAAGACCCCGUGAACCUUUACUGCAGCUUGACACUGAACUUUGACCUUACUUGUGUAGGAUAGGUGGGAGGCUUUGAAGCUGGAACGCUAGUUCCAGUGGAGCCGUCCUUGAAAUACCACCCUGGUAAUGUUGAGGUUCUAACUCUGUCCCGUGAUCCGGGACGAGGACCGUGUCUGGUGGGUAGUUUGACUGGGGCGGUCUCCUCCUAAAGAGUAACGGAGGAGUACGAAGGUGCGCUCAGCGUGGUCGGAAAUCACGCGUAGAGUAUAAAGGCAAAAGCGCGCUUAACUGCGAGACCCACAAGUCGAGCAGGUACGAAAGUAGGUCUUAGUGAUCCGGUGGUUCUGUAUGGAAGGGCCAUCGCUCAACGGAUAAAAGGUACUCUGGGGAUAACAGGCUGAUACCGCCCAAGAGUUCAUAUCGACGGCGGUGUUUGGCACCUCGAUGUCGGCUCAUCUCAUCCUGGGGCUGAAGCAGGUCCCAAGGGUAUGGCUGUUCGCCAUUUAAAGAGGUACGCGAGCUGGGUUUAGAACGUCGUGAGACAGUUCGGUCCCUAUCUACCGUGGGCGCUGGAAAUUUGAGAGGAUCUGCUCCUAGUACGAGAGGACCAGAGUGGACGAACCUCUGGUGUACCGGUUGUGACGCCAGUCGCAUCGCCGGGUAGCUAUGUUCGGAAGGGAUAACCGCUGAAAGCAUCUAAGCGGGAAGCCUACCUCAAGAUAAGAUUUCCCUAGGACUUUAUGUCCUCUAAAGAGCCGUUCGAGACUAGGACGUUGAUAGGUUGGAUGUGGAAGCAUAGUGAUAUGUGAAGCUGACCAAUACUAAUUGCUCGUGAGGCUUGACUAUACAACACCCA
rnacentral:rRNA from 2 species